GACGAACGCUGGCGGCGUGCCUAAUACAUGCAAGUCGAGCGAAGUUUUUCUGGUGCUUGCACUAGAAAAACUUAGCGGCGAACGGGUGAGUAACACGUAAAGAACCUGCCUCAUAGACUGGGACAACUAUUGGAAACGAUAGCUAAUACCGGAUAACAGUAUUUCUCGCAUGAGAGAUAUUUAAAAGUUGGUUAUGCUAACACUAUGAGAUGGCUUUGCGGUGCAUUAGCUAGUUGGUGGGGUAAAGGCCCACCAAGGCGACGAUGCAUAGCCGACCUGAGGGGGUGAUCGGCCACACUGGGACUGAGACACGGCCCAGACUCCUACGGGAGGCAGCAGUAGGGAAUCUUCCGCAAUGGGCGAAAGCCUGACGGAGCAACGCCGCGUGAGUGAAGAAGGAUUUCGGUUCGUAAAGCUCUGUUGUUAGGGAAGAAUGGAUAUGUAGUAACUAUACAUGUAAGAGACG
rnacentral:rRNA from 1 species